AAACUUUCAACAACGGAUCUCUUGGCUCCAGCAUCGAUGAAGAACGCAGCGAAACGCGAUAUGUAAUGUGAAUUGCAGAAUUCAGUGAAUCAUCGAAUCUUUGAACGCACAUGGCGCCUUCCAGUAUCCUGGGAGGCAUGCCUGUCCGAGC
rnacentral:rRNA from 1 species